AUGGCGUUGAAAGUGUUGGUUGGGCAAAAGAUUAUGAAUGAGGUGGUGAAGUAUAAGCCUCCACCACCAAAGAAGGCUGGAGCUGUAGCUGCUGCAAAAGCCCCAGGUGGCAUGGAAUGGCGUGUGUUGGUUGUCGAUAAGUUGGGUAUGCGUAUGGUGUCUGCAUGCACCAAAAUGCAUGAAAUAAGCGCCGAGGGUAUCACCUUGGUGGAGGAUAUCAACAAAAAGCGUGAACCGCUUCCAACCAUGGAUGCCAUCUACUUGAUUACGCCGUCGGAUGAGUCGGUGCGGGCAUUAAUACGCGAUUUCGAGAAUCCGGCUAGACCAAUGUAUCGUUAUGCGCACGUCUUCUUCACUGAGGCAAUACCUGAAGACAUAUUCCAUAUGUUGCAAAUACGCAGCGACAUUACGCGAAAAUAUAUACGCACAUGCAAAGAAAUAAAUAUUGCAUUUUUAGCCUAUGAAGACAAGGUCUACUCGCUCGAUUCGCCAGACACCUUUCAGUGUCUGUAUUCGCCAGCGUUUGCUUCGAUACGCGCCAAGCACAUCGAUCGCAUCGCCGAGCAAAUCGCGACUUUGUGUGCCACACUCGGCGAGUAUCCGAUGGUGCGAUAUCGCACUGACUGGGAUCGCAACAUAGAUUUGGCUGCUGCGGUGCAGCAGAAGUUGGACGCCUAUAAGGCGGAUGAGCCCACAAUGGGUGAGGGUCCGGAGAAGUCACGUUCGCAAUUGCUAAUAUUGGAUCGUGGUUUCGAUUGCGUCUCGCCAUUGUUGCACGAAUUAACGCUGCAAGCGAUGGCCUACGAUCUGUUGCCAAUCGUCAACGAUGUUUAUCGUUAUACACCCGGCCCGAAUCAACCCGAAAAGGAGGUGCUACUCGAUGAGAACGACGACUUGUGGGUGGAAUUGCGGCAUGAGCAUAUCGCUGUGGUGUCCACGCAGGUGACACAGAACCUGAAGAAGUUCACCGAAUCGAAGCGCAUGACAUCGACCGAUAAAGCUUCCAUGCGCGAUUUGUCACAAAUGAUCAAGAAAAUGCCUCAGUAUCAGAAGGAGCUGUCAAAAUAUUCAACACAUUUGCACUUGGCUGAGGAUUGCAUGAAGACUUAUCAGAGCUAUGCCGAUAAGUUGUGUCGCGUUGAACAGGAUCUGGCUAUGGGCACCGAUGCCGAAGGUGAAAAGAUCAAGGAUCAUAUGCGCAACAUUGUGCCCAUUCUUCUCAAUGCGGAUGUCUCCAACUUCGAUAAAGUACGCAUAAUCGCGCUCUAUGUUAUGAUCAAGAACGGCAUAUCUGAGGAAAAUCUAACCAAACUCUUCACGCACGCCUCACUCUCGCCGAAAGAUCAAGAUAUGGUGCGUAAUUUGAGCUUCUUGGGCGUGAAUGUGAUUGCCGAUUCGCGCAAGAAAGUCUACAACGUGCCACGCAAAGAGCGUAUCACCGAACACACUUAUCAAAUGUCCCGUUGGACACCAGUCGUGAAGGAUAUUAUGGAGGAUUGCAUUGAGGAUAAGUUGGAUCAGCGUCAUUUCGCUUUUCUGGCUGGACGUGCACAGAAUACCAAUUAUCAUGCGCCAACUAGCGCACGCUAUGGCCACUGGCAUAAAGACAAGGCACAGACGCAGGUGAAGAAUGUACCGCGUCUCAUUGUAUUCAUUGUGGGCGGCGUUAGUAUGUCCGAGAUGCGUUGCGCUUAUGAAGUCACCAAUGCCGUUAAGAAUUGGGAAGUGCUUGUCGGUUCGUCGCAUAUACUAACGCCCGAAGGUUUCCUGAGCGACUUGGGCAGUCUCUCCAAAGAGGAUUAAGCAGCUACAGCACAGGCUCGAUAUAUAAUUAACUAAAAUUUAUUAAUUUAAAGGUUAAUUGUCCGCUAAAGUGUUUACAAAUAUUUUAGUAACUGUAUUGAUGUCACUGUAACAAUUUUUAAACACCAUUACAUGUUGUUUACGCGUUACAACUUGUGGUUAGAAAAAGAGUUAGACACACACUUAUACACACUUGUGUGUGUUAUAUUAUAUAUAAUAUAUCAUAUAAAUAUAUAAUGAAGUGCUAAAAACAACAAUAUGCGCAAGCAUGUCAAUAAAUUGCAAAGUAUUCACGUUGUUUAUUGCAUUGUAUUUAUGUCGCAUAUUUAAAUGGAAAAAUAUAAAUAUUUUAUGCAACUAUAAUUCCACUUCAACUUAUAUAUAUUUAUAUAAUACUUU
rnacentral:misc_RNA from 1 species